rnacentral:rRNA from 1 species
UACAGAGGGGGCAAGCGUUAUUCGGAAUUAUUGGGCGUAAAGCGCACGUAGGCGGCUUCUUAAGUCAGGGGUGAAAUCCUGGAGCUCAACUCCAGAACUGCCUUUGAUACUGAGGAGCUUGAGUCCGGGAGAGGUGAGUGGAACUGCGAGUGUAGAGGUGAAAUUCGUAGAUAUUCGCAAGAACACCAGUGGCGAAGGCGGCUCACUGGCCCGGUACUGACGCUGAGGUGCGAAAGCGUGGGGAGCAAACAGG